UUGCACGCUGGCGGCAGGCCUAACACAUGCAAGUCGAGCGGAUGAAGGGAGCUUGCUCCUGGAUUCAGCGGCGGACGGGUGAGUAAUGCCUAGGAAUCUGCCUGGUAGUGGGGGAUAACGUCCGGAAACGGGCGCUAAUACCGCAUACGUCCUGAGGGAGAAAGUGGGGGAUCUUCGGACCUCACGCUAUCAGAUGAGCCUAGGUCGGAUUAGCUAGUUGGUGGGGUAAAGGCCUACCAAGGCGACGAUCCGUAACUGGUCUGAGAGGAUGAUCAGUCACACUGGAACUGAGACACGGUCCAGACUCCUACGGGAGGCAGCAGUGGGGAAUAUUGGACAAAGGGCGAAAGCCUGAUCCAGCCAUGCCGCGUGUGUGAAGAAGGUCUUCGGAUUGUAAAGCACUUUAAGUUGGGAGGAAGGGCAGUAAGUUAAUACCUUGCUGUUUUGACGUUACCAACAGAAUAAGCACCGGCUAACUUCGUG
rnacentral:rRNA from 1 species